ACGAACGCUGGCGGCGUGCUUAACACAUGCAAGUCGAGCGGUAAGGCUCCUUCGGGAGUACACGAGCGGCGAACGGGUGAGUAACACGUGAGCAAUCUGCCCUUCACUUUGGGAUAACUCCGGGAAACCGGUGCUAAUACCGAAUGCGACCACUUCAGGCAUCUGACGGUGGUGGAAAGUUCCGGCGGUGAAGGAUGAGCUCGCGGCCUAUCAGCUUGUUGGUGAGGUAAUGGCUCACCAAGGCUUCGACGGGUAGCCGGCCUGAGAGGGUGACCGGCCACACUGGGACUGAGACACGGCCCAGACUCCUACGGGAGGCAGCAGUGGGAAUAUUGGACAAUGGGCGAAAGCCUGAUCCAGCAACGCCGCGUGAGGGAUGACGGCCUUCGGGUUGUAAACCUCUUUCAGCAGGGACGAAGCGAAAGUGACGGUACCUGCAAAAGAAGCACCGGCCAACUACGUG
rnacentral:rRNA from 1 species